GAGUAAUGUAUAAAAAGAGAAUAGUAUGAUAUAUAGUACCUAUUUCGAAUUUAAAUUCUAUUUAGAGAAGAGAACGCAAGUGGCGCUAGUAGUUUCCGCGUUUUCCGCGUCGGUCAGUUUGAAUUCGCGUUUCGUUGCAUGAAAUUGUGAAAAUUAUAUAGAAAAGUGACUUCAAUUACCAUAAAUCUUUCUCAAAGAGCGAUUAAACGGUUUAAUUCAACUACUGGAGCAAUGUAACAGGAAUAAAUCUAAGUGGAGUGAAGUAGGAAAGAAGUGGGAAGAGUGAAGUAGGAAAGAAAUAGGAAGAGUAAAGCAGCCGUUAAUUUAACAAAAUGGAAAGCAUUGUCGUAGGACCAAGUAAUUGGAUUGCACGAUGAGUCCACGGGAGACAGGGGGAACGUUGAUUUUAACAAAAAUCCUGAGAAUAUGGAGUUUAAUAUUUCUUCGUAUUCUCGUACGUAUGCUCUUUAUCGCUGCAUACGUCGCGUUAAUUGAAAUAUAAAUUUUCCACCUGUACGACGUAUUUCUUAUUAUGUACGGUUAAAUGUGUUGUACUGUUACGAAGUAUAGGUAAAUUUACGCAGAAUAAACCGAAGAAUAAAAUGUUCCACUCUGUGUAACGUCCACGAGAAGAUACAAAGUUGUAAAAUUAUGUA